AGUGUAGGCCUCGGCUAGGUAGGUGUGUAGGCCUGGCUAGCGGACUCAAGUUUCUCUCACCUGUGGCGUUUGUUUACCGUUUGCAAGGGAGACUGAAGAGACGAGUGAACAAAGCUUGCCUGGGCUAAGAAUUCCUUCUUCGCUUGACUACGUAUAUUGAGCAACUGAGCAAAUCAUGUCAUGAAAGGUACCCUCAAGAAGAGCUAAAGUUUGCCUCACCAUCUGCACUUCAUUCGGUGGUAGCUUGGAGCCCCUUCCCCAAAGGAACCAAUGACCAGUCUAUGGUGAUGGGACUACAUUGAAAUGGGAAAUCAAGUGUGCAUUCUUCAAAGUGAUAUUACACCGACAGUGACUACAAAUGACCUGGGUACACCUCAAGACAGGAAAGGAUGAAACACUCUGAUAGUCGGAGGACUUCGUCACAAAUUUAAAAGCCCAUUCAUCGGCCCAUCUAACCGAAUAGUCUGGAACUCAACUCUUUUGUAUUACUCCUGUCAGUUAUUCGAGCAGCUUCAUGUAAUUAAAUUACUUACAACAACCAAAC